rnacentral:rRNA from 1 species
GACGAACGCUGGCGGCGUGCCUAAUACAUGCAAGUCGAACGAGAGCGCCCGGUGCUUGCACUGGUCAAUCUAGUGGCGAACGGGUGAGUAACACGUGGGUAACCUGCCCAUCAGAGGGGGAUAACAUCCGGAAACGGAUGCUAAAACCGCAUAGGUCUUCGAGCCGCAUGGCUUGAAGAGGAAAAGAGGCGCAAGCUUCUGCUGAUGGAUGGACCCGCGGUGCAUUAGCUAGUUGGUGAGGUAACGGCUCACCAAGGCCGUGAUGCAUAGCCGACCUGAGAGGGGGAUCGGCCACAUUGGGACUGAGACACGGCCCAAACUCCUACGGGAGGCAGCAGUAGGGAAUCUUCCGCAAUGGACGCAAGUCUGACGGAGCAACGCCGCGUGAGUGAAGAAGGUUUUCGGAUCGUAAAACUCUGUUGUUAGAGAAGAACAAGUGCUAGAGUAACUGUUAGCGCCUUGACGGUAUCUAACCAGAAAGCCACGGCUAACUACGUG